rnacentral:rRNA from 1 species
UGUUGUGAACUCGAAGAGUAGGGCGGGACACGUGGUAUCCUGUCUGAAUAUGGGGGGACCAUCCUCCAAGGCUAAAUACUCCUGACUGACCGAUAGUGAACCAGUACCGUGAGGGAAAGGCGAAAAGAACCCCGGCGAGGGGAGUGAAAAAGAACCUGAAACCGUGUACGUACAAGCAGUGGGAGCACCUUCGGGUGUGACUGCGUACCUUUUGUAUAAUGGGUCAGCGACUUAUAUUCUGUAGCAAGGUUAACCGUAUAGGGGAGCCGAAGGGAAACCGAGUCUUAACUGGGCGUUAAGUUGCAGGGUAUAGACCCGAAACCCGGUGAUCUAGCCAUGGGCAGGUUGAAGGUUGGGUAACACUAACUGGAGGACCGAACCGACUAAUGUUGAAAAAUUAGCGGAUGACUUGUGGCUGGGGGUGAAAGGCCAAUCAAACCGGGAGAUAGCUGGUUCUCCCCGAAAGCUAUUUAGGUAGCGCCUCGUGAACUCAUCUUCGGGGGUAGAGCACUGUUUCGGCUAGGGGGUCAUCCCGACUUACCAACCCGAUGCAAACUGCGAAUACCGAAGAAUGUUAUCACGGGAGACACACGGCGGGUGCUAACGUCCGUCGUGAAGAGGGAAACAACCCAGACCGCCAGCUAAGGUCCCAAAGUCAUGGUUAAGUGGGAAACGAUGUGGGAAGGCACAGACAGCCAGGAUGUUGGCUUAGAAGCAGCCAUCAUUUAAAGAAAGCGUAAUAGCUCACUGGUCGAGUCGGCCUGCGCGGAAGAUGUAACGGGGCUAAACCAUGCACCGAAGCUGCGGCAGCGACACUAUGUGUUGUUGGGUAGGGGAGCGUUCUGUAAGCCGUUGAAGGUGUCCUGUGAGGGAUGCUGGAGGUAUCAGAAGUGCGAAUGCUGACAUAAGUAACGAUAAUGCGGGUGAAAAACCCGCACGCCGGAAGACCAAGGGUUCCUGUCCAACGUUAAUCGGGGCAGGGUGAGUCGACCCCUAAGGCGAGGCCGAAAGGCGUAGUCGAUGGGAAACAGGUUAAUAUUCCUGUACUUGGUGUUACUGCGAAGGGGGGACGGAGAAGGCUAUGUUAGCCGGGCGACGGUUGUCCCGGUUUAAGCAUGUAGGCGGAGCGUUUAGGUAAAUCCGGACGCUUACUAACGCUGAGGUGUGAUGACGAGGCACUACGGUGCUGAAGUGACAAAUGCCCUGCUUCCAGGAAAAGCCUCUAAGCAUCAGGUAACACGAAAUCGUACCCCAAACCGACACAGGUGGUCAGGUAGAGAAUACCAAGGCGCUUGAGAGAACUCGGGUGAAGGAACUAGGCAAAAUGGUGCCGUAACUUCGGGAGAAGGCACGCUGAUAUGUAGGUGAAGCGGUUUACCCGUGGAGCUGAAAUCAGUCGAAGAUACCAGCUGGCUGCAACUGUUUAUUAAAAACACAGCACUGUGCAAACACGAAAGUGGACGUAUACGGUGUGACGCCUGCCCGGUGCCGGAAGGUUAAUUGAUGGGGUUAUCCGUAAGGAGAAGCUCUUGAUCGAAGCCCCGGUAAACGGCGGCCGUAACUAUAACGGUCCUAAGGUAGCGAAAUUCCUUGUCGGGUAAGUUCCGACCUGCACGAAUGGCGUAAUGAUGGCCAGGCUGUCUCCACCCGAGACUCAGUGAAAUUGAACUCGCUGUGAAGAUGCAGUGUACCCGCGGCAAGACGGAAAGACCCCGUGAACCUUUACUAUAGCUUGACACUGAACACUGGUCCUUGAUGUGUAGGAUAGGUGGGAGGCUUUGAAGUGUGGACGCCAGUCUGCAUGGAGCCAUCCUUGAAAUACCACCCUUUAAUGGCUGGUGUUCUAACGUGGGCCC